rnacentral:rRNA from 1 species
GACGAACGCUGGCGGCGUGCUUAACACAUGCAAGUCGAACGAUGAAGAAGAGCUUGCUCUUCGGAUUAGUGGCGAACGGGUGAGUAACACGUGACUAACCUGCCCCUUUCUCUGGGAUAACGCUCCGAAAGGAGUGCUAAUACCGGAUACUCACAUCGAGGCACAUGCCUUGAUGUGGAAAGUUUUUCGGAAAGGGAUGGAGUCGCGGCCUAUCAGCUUGUUGGUGAGGUAACGGAUCACCAAGGCGACGACGGGUAGCCGGCCUGAGAGGGCGCCCGGCCACACUGGGACUGAGCCACGGCCCAGACUCCUACGGGAGGCAGCAGUGGGGAAUAUUGCGCAAUGGGCGAAAGCCUGACGCAGCAACGCCGCGUGAGGGAUGACGGCCUUCGGGUUGUAAACCUCUUUCAGCAGGGAAGAAGCGAAAGUGACGGUACCUGCAGAAGAAGCACCGGCUAACUACGUGCCAGCCGCCGCUGUAA